CAAUGGGUGGGCUACGUGAGUGUGCGGGUACCUAGAGUGUGUGUGGGGGGGUGGUCUGGAGCCACCUCUUCUGUCUCUGCAAUACUUCCUGUGCAAUUUGAGUCUGCACAGGUCCCCCUUUUCCCCCGCCCUUCUCUCCGGUGACGCAACAGUACGAAUGGGGGAGGGUCACAUUUCUCAGCUCGUCCCUUUCUGCAAACUGUUACCAGAAGGGACCCUCUAGAUACUGAAAGGCCACUCUCAGGUCUCCCCGGAGCCUUCCCUGUUCCAGGCUGCACAGUCCCAGCUCUCGCAUCCUGUCCUUGUAGGAGAGGUGUUCCAUCCCUCUGAUCAUUUUUGUGGCCCUCCUCUGGAUGCAUUCCAACAGGUCCAUGUCUCUCCUGCACUGAGGACUCCACAUCUGGACACAGGAUUCCAGAAACUAACAUAUCACAUCCAUAGUGCCUCUCAGCAUCCUCCGAGCUAGUUAGCUCUUAGCAAGAAUUGGACCAAUUUUUUAAUCCUUACUACGACAUCCUGCCAACAUACUGUGAAGACAGAAGAUAUAUCUACAUCAAAAAGCAUUUGCCUGCUUUCAUAGUCAGGAAUAUGAUUCAGUGGUGGCAGCUGGUGUAAGAAAAGACUUAUUUAUGCAUACAUAUAUAUAUCAACAUACCUAUUUGUAUGAAUAUACACAUAGAUAUAUAGAUAAACAUACAUAUAUUCAUAUUGCAUAUGUACUAAUAUUAGUAUAUGAAAAAAAAAAAAGACACCAAGGAAAUUGAUGGCGUGUUAGUCUUCCAAUUCAGUUUUUU
rnacentral:lncRNA from 1 species